GGCUCCGUGGUCGAAUGGUAAUGACAUUUGCCUCUCUAGUGGAAUCCCGGGUUCGAUCCCCAGCCGAGGAGCUA